rnacentral:rRNA from 1 species
UACGUAGGUGGCAAGCGUUAUCCGGAAUUAUUGGGCGUAAAGCGCGCGCAGGUGGUUUCUUAAGUCUGAUGUGAAAGCCCACGGCUCAACCGUGGAGGGUCAUUGGAAACUGGGAGACUUGAGUGGCAGAAGAGGAAAGUGGAAUUCCAUGUGUAGCGGUGAAAUGCGUAGAGAAUAUGGAGGAACACCAGUGGCGAAGGCGACUUCUGGUCUGUAACUGACACUGAGGCGCGAAAGCGUGGGGAGCAAACAGG